UACAGAGGGUGCGAGCGUUGUUCGGAUUUACUGGGCGUAAAGGGCGCGUAGGCGGCCACCGCAAGUCGACUGUGAAAUCUCCGGGCUUAACCGGAAGGUCAGCCGAUACUGCGGGGCUAGAGUGCAGAAGGGGCAACUGGAAUUCUCGGUGUAGCGGUGAAAUGCGUAGAUAUCGAGAGGAACACCUGCGGCGAAGGCGGGUUGCUGGGCUGACACUGACGCUGAGGCGCGAAAGCUAGGGGAGCGAACGGG
rnacentral:rRNA from 1 species